rnacentral:tRNA from 5 species
GGCCCUAUCGUCUAGUGGUUAGGACAUAGCCCUUUCACGGCUGUAACAGGGGUUCAAAUCCCCUUGGGGUCACAA